CUCGCGACGGUGGAUCUCUUGGCUCACGCAUCGAUGAAGAACGCAGCAAAUUGCGAUAAGUAGUGUUACUUGCAGAAUACGUGAAUCAUCGAGUCUUUGAACGCAAAUGGCGCUCGUGACGUUCUCGCGAGCAUGUCGGUCUGAGAGUC
rnacentral:rRNA from 1 species